GCCUAAAGCGUCCGUAGCCGGCUUUGUAAGUUUUCGGUUAAAUCUAUAUGCUCAACAUAUAGGCUGCCGGGAAUACUGCAAAGCUAGGGAGUGGGAGAGGUAGACGGUACUCCGUAGGAAGGGGUAAAAUCCUUUGAUCUAUGGAUGACCACCUGUGGCGAAGGCGGUCUACCAGAACACGUCUGACGGUGAGGGAUGAAAGCUGGGGGAGCAAACCGGAUUAGAUACCCGGGUAGUCCCAGCUGUAAACUAUGCAAACUCAGUGAUGCAUUGGCUUGUGGCCAGCGCAGUGCCGCAGGGAAGCCGUUAAGUUUGCCGCCUGGGAAGUACGUACGCAAGUAUGAAACUUAAAGGAAUUGGCGGGGGAGCACCACAAGGGGUGAAGCCUGCGGUUCAAUUGGAGUCAACGCCAGAAAUCUUACCCGGAGAGACAGCAGAAUGAAGGUCAAGUUGAAGCCUUUACCAGACAAGCUGAGAAGUGGUGCAUGGCCGUCGCCAGCUCGUGCCGUGAGGUGUCCUGUUAAGUCAGGUAACGAGCGAGAUCCUUGCCUCUAGUUGCUACCAUUACUCUCAGGAGUAGUGGGGCGAAUUAGCGGGACUGCCGUAGUUAAUACGGAGGAAGGAGAGGGCCACGGCAGGUCAGUAUGCCCCGAA
rnacentral:rRNA from 1 species